GAACAUAGGGUGAUCUGGCUAUAAUGUCUGUUGCUCCAUUGAAGGUGAUCUGGCCGACUGGGUGGNCNUCNCUUUCCUCACUCAGUGCUCCAUGCGUAUGUCUCCCAAAGCUAGGUGCAUGGUCAAAGAUGUCUUCCCCUGUAGGGAGGACUGUUCUGUCAAGGAUAUGUGAGUAGUUCUGCUCUUCUGCUACAACCUCCAAACAAACUCUCAANAAUAGUGCCGGAGCCGGAGAGAUGGCUCAUCAGGUCAAGGCNCUUGCUGCCAAGCAUGAGUUCACUU
rnacentral:snRNA from 1 species